rnacentral:tRNA from 1 species
AUAGCUCUAUUGGUAGAGCGUUGGUCUCAUAACCACAAGGUCGGUCGCAAGUUCAAU